rnacentral:lncRNA from 13 species
GGAGGGAGGGCGGGACUGAGGGAGUUCGGUCGCCCUUUGCCUUGUGAUUUAUAUCUGCGGAGAAGCCCUGUUCCGCUUCUUCUAGCUGGAAUGCUGGGACAUGCUGUUUCAAUAUGAGACGAUCAGCUGGGCCCUCCGUGGAAUGUCCCCGGAGACGGCCAGCGGCCUCCCAGCGGGGUCAUUUGUUCAGUAGGAUGCUAAGUCGCAUUCUCCAACAUCUGCACUCUAUUAAUACCUUCAGAAUAUUUCCAUCAGCUCUGGGAAGUCAGGAGACGCCUCGAGAGAUGUUGGGCACCAAGUCCUGGAGGCUUUUGACAAACACUGUCCUUUGUGAGGCUUCUGUGUUUUGUGGGAAGAACCCCCCCACCCCGGCUCCAUUUUGUCCCUUUUCCUUUACUGUGGAUGCUCACGUCCACCCAGUGAGAUCCAGAGCCAAAGGUGUUGCGGGACCUGCUUGAGUUGACAGCGACCUGCGGCAGGUGAAUUUGUAAACACAUGGGCGGAGACAGCCGCAGAUACACACUGCGGGGCACUUGCCUAAGGCCAGCAGAGAGAGGACCAGGGCCAGGCCCGGCUUUCCAGUCCACAUGGGGCCCUGUCCUAUCCUUUGAGGGCACCAUGGCCUGACCUUCGGGGACAGGAAGGAAGGAAGAUGGGGAGGAAGGAGAGGAGAGGAGGAAAGCUCUGAGGGAGGGACGCAGUGAGGUGAUGGAAGUGAGGGGGUUUCAUUAAAGAAAAACAAAACGGGUGAGAUAGCCAGAGCAAGUGGAAACGAAGCUCCCUCCUGUAGAACGGCAGCGGUGAGAAUGAGAACCUGAGAUGCAGCUUCGGCCUUCGGAGAGGUGGUCCUGCACGCCUGACCUUGGACACUCAUUGUUGUCUGACAUCCCCUUAGUCCCAAGAGCACAGUGGGCUUCACCCAUGCGUCCCAGGGGAGCAUGGCUCCUCCAGUGUCUGCACACACGCAGUGCCGGUCACGUGUUGAGGGGAGCCCAGGCCCCCAUCUGUGUUCUUCGUGUCAAGGUGGAAUGGGCAGGAGGCACCUCGCAGCUUCGCUCUGUGACCUUUCAGUUUGUGGGUGUUCACCUACUCCCACCAGCUCAUGGGUCCGUUCACCUUACACUGGGGUGGAAAAGGUUGGUGACUCUUUCUGAACUCCUAAGGCAAGUCUGUGAAAUGUUUUUCUUUUCCUGCCCUGCUUAGAAGCCCUGGAGUUCUGUGUCUCACCCCCAUGGCCGCCGCUGGGCGAGGCUGGCCGCCUGGGAGCUGGUUUCAGCGUGGCAGCGGUCCUGCAGGAACUAUUAAUAGCCUUCAUUUCCAGUACGUGCCCUGUAAAGCUGAGCCUCAUUUUCAGGCAGCUCCGUUACUCACAAUUCUAGGAAAAGUUUCCUUUGAAUGUCUUCCUGCCAGAGGACUGGUGGCUCAACUCCCUCCACCUGCUUAGGAAAGAGGAGAGAAGAGCCCACAGACAGAUAGUGGGGACCCAUCCUUUUCGGGAGCUGCUCACACCCCAGCUCUGUUCCGAGAGCUGCCUGGAUGGGCUUCCUGGAGGAGGAGGGUGGGAUGAUGCUUGGCUGCCCGACGCUGAAGUCAUGUUUGACUCAUCUCUUCCUUCCAUGCUGCUAGCCCAGUGCGUCACACAUUCGAUCAGCUUCUCCUUCCAAGUAGGUGCAGAAACCAGCCCUUCACACUGCAUCUAGCUCUGCCUGGCUCUCCAGGCUGCCACCAUCUCUCACUGGCCUCCCUGCAACCCCCUGGUGGUCUCCCCUUCCCUGAGCUCACACCCUAUAUUCCUGAAAACCAACAGAGGACUCUUACAGCAUGUCACGCUCAGCUCAACUGCUGCUGGCUGCUUGCAGUCUCAUGCCAAGCAAGAGGCAGUCUCUGAGUGGCCUGUGUUCCUGGCGGCCCGGGCCCUUCCUGCUCUUGCUCUAUUCCUUUCUCCUUCCCUUCCUAUGCCAGCCGCCCCACCCCGUCCCGCGCUGCCGCUGUCCCUGCCUCUGUGUUUCAUAUGUGCUAUCUCCCCCAUCUGGAACGCUCUUCCUCCAAGAAACAUUCUUUCUGGUUCUGCACUAAUGCCCCCUUAUCCAAGAAGUCUUCCAGGACUGCAACCCUCAGCCUGGGCAACACCUGUGUCCCCACUGUUUCACUUCUCUCCUUUGCCUCAUCAUGGCCUUGUAGACAGGCCGUGUGUCUGCUGCCU